UCACUAAUCUCCUCUCCUCAUCACAAAAGCUCGCCAAUCAUCGCACUCAGAAUUCGAUCGCACUUGGAUUCGGCAUCGAGUUUCCAUCGUCACCUCAUCGAUCCGGUCACCUCCUGCCCCAAGUGAAUGGAUAACACUGAAGUGGAAGUGCCUCGAUUCUUCCUCUGCCCCAUCUCGCUGGAGAUCAUGAGAGAUCCGGUCACCGUCUCCACCGGGAUAACCUAUGACCGAGAGAGCAUCGAGACAUGGCUGUCCACGUCCAAAAACAGCUUGUGCCCCGUCACCAAGCAGCCGAUCUCCGAUGUGGACUUGACCCCAAACCACACCCUACGCCGCCUGAUUCAAUCUUGGUGCACCCUCAACUCGUCGAACGGCAUCGAGCGAAUCCCAACCCCCAGGGUUCCCAUCAGCAAAGCCCAGAUCACCGAGAUCCUGCGAGAUGCGGAGAAGCCUCACCUCCAGCAGAAGUGUCUUAGGCGGCUCAGAUCUAUCGCUUCUCGUAAUACUUCGGCCAAGCGUUGCAUGGAAGCUGCUGGCGCUGUCGAGUUCCUGGCCUCGAUGAUAUCCACAUCGCAAGAUCAGCCAUCUGUGUCGGAAGACGGGUUACUCCUCAACAUCAAAACACCAAGCGAUGACGCACUGUGCAUCCUCCACAAUCUCCAGCUCUCCGAGCCAGGCCUCAAGGGCCUCGUGGCCAAGGACAGCGAGUUCACCGAGUCACUCACGCGCAUCAUGCAGCGUGGGCCUUAUGACUCGAGGGCCUAUGCUGUGCUGCUGCUCAAGUCGAUGUUCGAGGUUGCUGAGCCGAUGCAGAUCAUCACGCUGAGGCAGGAGUUCUUUGCCGAGGCGGUCCAAGUCCUGCACGACCAGAUCUCUCAGCAGGCCACCAAGGCCACACUUAAGCUACUGAUAAACCUAUGCCCUUGGGGCCGAAACAGGACCAAAGCCGUCAAGUCCGGGGCAGUGUCAGUAUUGAUCGAGCUGCUUCUCAACUGUUCUGACAAGAGGACGUGCGAGUUAACAUUGAUGUUGUUGGAGAUGCUUUGUCAAUGUGCCGAGGGGAGGUCGGAGUUGCUAAGCCAUGGGGCGGGAAUUGCAGUCGUAUCAAAGAAGAUACUUAGGGUUUCGCACGUCGCUAGUGAGAGGGCAGUCCGAAUUCUGCUCUCCGUCUCCAAGUUCUCGGCAACUGCGACUGUGGCGCAAGAGAUGUUGCAAUUGGGCGUCGCAACGAAGUUGUGUUUGGUUCUGCAAGUGGACUGCGGGAGGAAGAUCAAAGAAAAGGCCAUUGAGAUACUGAAAUUGCAUGCCAGGGUUUGGAAGCACUCUCCUUGUAGACCCUCUAAUUUGCUCUCUUCAUACCCAUCUUGAAAAUGGACCACUUCUUGUACCAAAUCCAUCUCGAUCAGGGCAAGAUCUUCGUGGAGCUGCUUCAGCUUGAUGGCGGAAGCCGGAAGGGACAGUCCAGGUAGAGGACAACAACAAGCCUCGAGUCAAAGCAGUCUAACGGCAAGCCGAGCAUAAACAACAAUCCGAUGUGGCCACAACACCCACAUUCUGAUUUGAAGGUUUUGGAAAUGUUAAAAAUUGUUGGAGGUGAACUGUUUAUGUAAGAGUCUUUGAGUCACCGUUAUGUUAAGAGAUUGU